rnacentral:rRNA from 1 species
UACAGGGGGUGCAAACGUUGCUCGGAAUCAUUGGGCGUAAAGCGCACGUAGGCGGUUCGUUAUGUCGGAUGUGAAAGCCCUUGGCUUAACCGAGGAAGUGCAUCCGAAACUGGCGAGCUAGAGUACUAAAGAGGAUCGCGGAAUUCCCGGUGUAGAGGUGAAAUUCGUAGAUAUGGGGAGGAACACCGGUGGCGAAGGCGGCCACCUGGACGGUAACUGACGCUGAGACGCGAAAGCGUGGGGAGCAAACAGG